AUUGAACGCUGGCGGCAGGCCUAACACAUGCAAGUCGAGCGGAAGCACGGUAAGCGCUCGCUCUUACGGUUGGCGACGGGCGGGUGAGUGAUAAGUACAUCGCCAUCUACUUUUUCUGGGGUGAUAACGUGGGGCCUCAUACGCUACUAGCGCAUAUGAUGAACGGGUGGGAUCAGUGGAUCUUCGGACCUUUGGUGAUACUAGGAGCCGGUGUCGGAUUAGCUAGUUGGCGGGGUAAAGGCCCACCAAGGCGACGAUCCGUAGCUGGUCUGAGAGGAUGAUCAGCCACACUGGAACUGAGACACGGUCCAGACUCCUACGGGAGGCAGCAGUGGGGAAUAUUGGACAAUGGGCGAAAGCCUGAUCCAGCCAUGCCGCGUGGGUGAAGAAGGUCUUCGGAUUGUAAAGCUCUUUUAUUGGGGAAGAAAAGCAGUAAGUUAAUACCUGGCUGUUUUGACGGUACCAAAAGAAUAAGCACCGGCUAACUUCGUG
rnacentral:rRNA from 1 species